ACACGGUAUGCCCUAGUACGGCGAGUGAAGCGGCAACAGCUCAAAUUUGAAAUCUGGCGCAAGCCCGAGUUGUAAUUUGUAGAGGAUGCUUCUGGCCAGCGGCCGUUCUAAGUUCCUUGGAACAGGACGUCAUAGAGGGUGAGAAUCCCGUAUGUGACCGGCGCGCAGCCUUUACGUAGCUCCUUCGACGAGUCGAGUUGUUUGGGAAUGCAGCUCUAAAUGGGAGGUAAAUUUCUUCUAAAGCUAAAUACCGGCCAGAGACCGAUAGCGCACAAGUAGAGUGAUCGAAAGAUGAAAAGCACUUUGGAAAGAGAGUUAAAAAGCACGUGAAAUUGUUGAAAGGGAAGCGCUUGCAACCAGACUUCGUAGCGAUGUUCCGCCGGUCUUCUGACCGGUCUACUCAUCGUCGCGAGGCCAACAUCGUCUGGGCCCGCUGGAUAAGACCUCAGGAAUGUGGCUUCCCUCGGGAAGUGUUAUAGCCUGUGGUGAUGCAGCGCGGCUCGGGCGAGGUCCGCGCUUCGGCAAGGAUGUUGGCGUAAUGGUUGUCAGCGGCCCGUCUUGACCC
rnacentral:rRNA from 1 species